AAACCUUUAGGACCCCUCAUUUUCCCCAUUUUUCUUGUACAAGCUCCAAUCCUGGCGCUGCAGUCAGGGGUCUUGGGUAACUAACUCAUAUUCUUCAGGUCCUGUCCUCAGGGUCUCAUAUUGUUGGUGCAGGACUAUCAGCUGCACUGCUCCUAUUCUCUCUUUUAUGAAGGCUAUAAGCUUGUUCAAUAGACAGGGUCCAAAGGUCAACAAUAGCAGGAGAACAAUUAGGGGUUCUAACAAGGUGGAUAUGAGGGUGGUUAACCAAGGGGAUGAGUUAAACCAAGACUCAAACCCACCCUGACUCUGUUCUCUUUCUCUCUUCCACUUGGCUAGCCCUUCUCUCACCUUGUCCAUUGAAUCCUUAACUACCCCCAGGAUGGUCUCCAGUUUGAGCUUCCUAAUGUUUUACACCCCCAGGUAACACAGAAAAAGUGGUUGGCCCCCAACACUAAUGGGUCUUCAGCCAGAUUUUCCCAUCUUGAGGGCACAUAUAUGGGGAUUUCUCGCAGGAUACUGCUCAACUUUGGGUGUCUGCACCCUAAGACCCACCCUCUAAGGCCGCUUCUGGUACAUGGUUUAGAUUCAAAAGUCCCUCAUGCCCCACAUUUGGGUAAUCCCUCUCCCUCUUUCUCUAGAGUGGGGAUAUCCCAGGAGUCAAGGCCAGCUGCUAACUUACAGAGAUCAAAGACAAUGCUGGGCCACCAGGUAUAAGUCUCCUUCACUGUGUCACGCAGUGACAGCUUCCAUGGAAGUCAAGACAUUUUAUCGAGCGCUUCACGUAUAGGACCCGAAUGUGGAAACUGAGCAGCCCCUGCUAUGACUUAACUUGUGAGAAGUCCUAGUGCGGGCAGUCGUCUGCAUGGAGAAGUCCUAGUGUGGGCAGUCGUCUGCAUGGAGAAGUCCUAGUGCGGGCAGUCAUCUGCAUGGAGAAGUCCUAGUGCGGGCAGUCAUCUGCAUGGAGAAGUCCUAGUGCGGGCAGUCAUCUGCAUGAACUGCUUGUAAGACAUUGUUUACAUCUUUUCCUGGACAUGGAAGAUCAAGAAGGUGCUCAGAGGAUCUGCCUGGAUUGACAAGUCUUGGAAGUUCUCCAAUGGAGAAGGUGGCACAAUGAGACUACAGGAAACAAAGCUCUUUGAGGGAAGAGGUCCUGAUGUGGGGAAAGCAAGGCAGUGUCUCAUGAAGCCAAGACUGGCCUAAACCUGCUACAUAGUUGAAGAUGACAAUGAGCUUCUGAUCCUGCUACUUAUCACUUCCUGCAUUCUGGGAUCACUACUUCCUGCAUUCUGGGAUCACCACUUCCUGUAUACUGGGAACACUACUUCCUGCAUGUUUGUAACAUGACUUCUUGCACGUUAAGAUCACCACUUCCUGCAUGCUGGGAUCAUAGGCACAUGCUACCACUCCUGUUUUAUGUGGUGUGAACUGACCUAGGGCCUUCUCUAAGCUAUACAAAUGGCUCCACCAACUGAGCCACAUACUCAAUCUCUCAAUUUUAACACUUUAUUUACAAAAUGAGGAAGGUACAGCUGUUAGAAUACUCACCUCCGCAGCCACAAGUAGGUGGACUGAGGUACAUAAUAGUUUCCAGGGGAAAAUAACCAGUGAGUGCUCAGAGCAGGUCAGGAAAUCAAGUGUUGACAUUUCAAUUUCAAUUUCCUGCUCUUUCCUGUAUUUGUUAAAUUCCUAUGAGCCUUUGUUUAACCACAGAUAUAGAGCGGUCAUAAUCUUGUUGUUCAUGUGUUUUGUUUCCCUGGCCUUGGAAGUCAUGCCUUUCAUUGUGGUGUCUGCUGUUGUCUGAGCUAGGACACAGUGUUUGCAUUUUCAUUUUGUUCAUCCAGCACUGGCUGUGAUGGCUUUGUGUGUAUCUGCCAAUUAAAGCAUGAAUACAGCAAUUAUGGCUCUUAAAGCCAGAUACUCAUUAAUCUUGACCUGUUGUCAUUGUGCUGCUCAGUGGCAGAAAAUAUAACUGGGCUUAAAGGCCAAUUUCAUAAGCAGAGGAGUCUUGAAGCAAAUACAGAAUUUACUGUAGAAGAUAUUGUAGUAUGAGUGAAGUAUAUAGCCAUGGUAAAUACAAGUUUUUUGUGUUUGUUACCACUAUCUCUUGGUUACUUUUUGUAUUGCCGUGACAAAACACAGUGGCCAACACAAGUCUGGAAGGAAGCAUAUAAUAGGUAGGGGUUUAUGGUUUCAGAGAGUAAGUCCAUGAUGCUCAUGAUGGAAUGCAUGGGAGCAGAUAGGCAGGCAUGGUACUGGGACAAUAUCUGAGAGCUUACAUCUGAUUCACAAGUAUGGGGAAGAGAAAAAGGAAGCUAUCUGGAGCUGUUACAUGCUUGUGAAACCUCUAAGCUUACCCCAAAUGGCACACCUCCUCCAAUAAGGCCACAUAUUUAAUCCUUCCAAAACAGUUCCAACCACUGGGACAGAGCAUUCAAAUACAUGAGCCUCUGGGGCCCAUUCUCCUUCAAACCACCACAACUCUUGAGAAGCUAGAAAGAGUUGAUUGUGGGAGACAUUCAAGCAGAAUAGGAAGAGGCCUUAGGGUUCUGAGCAUUACAUCUGCUUUCUCGGUUCCCUGUACUUUUCAAAUACCAUUUUAAGUGCAUGAAGUCCAGCUAACCCAGAAAAACAGUUUGCUAAUUGCCUUUUUCAUUUGCCUUUUUGACCGCUGUGUGCUUGAAUGGCAAUGUUAGCCAUCUGUUUCAUAUUCAUUUACACUUGCCUCUACUACAUGUCAUUUGGAGGGAGCAAAGUCCAAGAACACUUUCAUUUUAGAUUCAGUUGACAAAGAUGGGUCUUCAGGUCCUCAAAGUAAAAUUAUGGACAUAUAAGUACCAGAACCAUAUGACCUAAUCCCUGUUGGGUGAGCACAACACAGCACAACACAACACAACACAACACAACACCACACCAGUGGCUCCCUUUCAUAGACCCGUGUUUUCUGUUUUCUCAUUGUUUGCCUCCUUUGGGUGUUCUCUUUCUUUGAGUUCGUCACAUACCAUGCUGUCCCAUGAUAAUGCUCUGAAUUAUGGUCCCAAACACAGUUCUCCAGAUUCCAAUGACCUUUUCUGCACUUCCUUACUGAAAGUUUCUCUGAACGU